rnacentral:rRNA from 1 species
GACGAACGCUGGCGGCGUGCCUAAUACAUGCAAGUGGGACGCAAGGGAACACACUGUGCUUGCACACCGUGUUUUCUUGAGUCGCGAACGGGUGAGUAACGCGUAGGUAACCUGCCUAUUAGCGGGGGAUAACUAUUGGAAACGAUAGCUAAUACCGCAUAAUAUUAAUUAUUGCAUGAUAAUUGAUUGAAAGAUGCAAGCGCAUCACUAGUAGAUGGACCUGCGUUGUAUUAGCUAGUUGGUAAGGUAAGAGCUUACCAAGGCGACGAUACAUAGCCGACCUGAGAGGGUGAUCGGCCACACUGGGACUGAGACACGGCCCAGACCUCUACGGGAGGCAGCAGUAGGGAAUCUUCGGCAAUGGACGAAAGUCUGACCGAGCAACGCCGCGUGAGUGAAGAAGGUUUUCGGAUCGUAAAGCUCUGUUGUAAGUCAAGAACGUGUGUGAGAGUGGAAAG